CCUACGGGAGGCAGCAGUGGGGAAUUUUGGACAAUGGGCGCAAGCCUGAUCCAGCCAUUCCGCGUGAGUGAAGAAGGCCUUCGGGUUGUAAAGCUCUUUCGCAAGGGAAGAAAACUUACUUUCUAAUAAAGAGUGAGGUUGACGGUACCUUGAUAAGAAGCACCGGCUAACUACGUGCCAGCAGCCGCGGUAAUACGUAGGGUGCGAGCGUUAAUCGGAAUUACUGGGCGUAAAGCGUGCGCAGGCGGCUUUGUAAGUCAGAUGUGAAAUCCCCGAGCUCAACUUGGGAACUGCGUUUGAAACUACAAGGCUAGAAUAUGUCAGAGGGGGGUAGAAUUCCACGUGUAGCAGUGAAAUGCGUAGAGAUGUGGAGGAAUACCAAUGGCGAAGGCAGCCCCCUGGGAUAAUAUUGACGCUCAUGCACGAAAGCGUGGGGAGCAAACAGGAUUAGAUACCCUGGUAGUCCACGCCCUAAACGAUGUCUACUAGUUGUUGGUGGAGUAAAAUCCAUGAGUAACGCAGCUAACGCGUGAAGUAGACCGCCUGGGGAGUACGGUCGCAAGAUUAAAACUCAAAUGAAUUGACGGGG
rnacentral:rRNA from 1 species